rnacentral:tRNA from 3 species
GCGGGUGUAACUCAAUGGUAGAGUGCCAGCUUCCCAAGCUGGUUACGUGGGUUCGAUUCCCAUCACCCGCUCCA